UUGAAAGGGAAACGAUUGAAGUCAGUCGUGCUGGCGCGAAAUCAACCUUCUCGUCUUGAGAUCACAUGGCGUGGCGAGCCUCAAAACCGUCACGAAGCGUGAACUCUUGGUGAAAUGGAGCACUUUCGUGUCCGCUGGUUAACAUCAAUUUCGAACGUCAUAAAAAGGCUGGAGGGAUGUGGCUCCUUCGGGAGUGUUAUAACCUUUAGCGGAAUGUGGUGUUCGGGAUUGAGGAUUGCAACGAAUACCUUUAAGGCUGUUCCACCUGGCUUCUCUUUGGUAUCCUGGUGACGACAGCUUGCUGACGUCGUUAGGAUUCGCCUUUGAACAGGCUAGAGUGUGAGCAAAUUCGUUAAGGAUGUUGACGUA
rnacentral:rRNA from 1 species